rnacentral:rRNA from 1 species
UCGAGCGGUAGCACAGAGAGCUUGCUCUCGGGUGACGAGCGGCGGACGGGUGAGUAAUGUCUGGGAAACUGCCUGAUGGAGGGGGAUAACUACUGGAAACGGUAGCUAAUACCGCAUAACGUCGCAAGACCAAAGUGGGGGACCUUCGGGCCUCAUGCCAUCAGAUGUGCCCAGAUGGGAUUAGCUAGUAGGUGGGGUAACGGCUCACCUAGGCGACGAUCCCUAGCUGGUCUGAGAGGAUGACCAGCCACACUGGAACUGAGACACGGUCCAGACUCCUACGGGAGGCAGCAGUGGGGAAUAUUGCACAAUGGGCGCAAGCCUGAUGCAGCCAUGCCGCGUGUAUGAAGAAGGCCUUCGGGUUGUAAAGUACUUUCAGCGAGGAGGAAGGUGUUGAGGUUAAUAACCUCAGCAAUUGACGUUACUCGCAGAAGAAGCACCGGCUAACUCCGUGCCAGCAGCCGCGGUAAUACGGAGGGUGCAAGCGUUAAUCGGAAUUACUGGGCGUAAAGCGCACGCAGGCGGUCUGUUAAGUCAGAUGUGAAAUCCCCGGGCUCAACCUGGGAACUGCAUUUGAAACUGGCAGGCUUGAGUCUUGUAGAGGGGGGUAGAAUUCCAGGUGUAGCGGUGAAAUGCGUAGAGAUCUGGAGGAAUACCGGUGGCGAAGGCGGCCCCCUGGACAAAGACU